UAAGGAAUAUUGCGCAAUGGGCGACAGCCUGACGCAGCGACGCCGCGUGGGGGAUGAAGGUCUUCGGAUUGUAAACCCCUUUCGGCAGGGAAGAUGGAACGGGUAACCGUUCGGACGGUACCUGCAGAAGCAGCCACGGCUAACUUCGUGCCAGCAGCCGCGGUAAUACGAAGGUGGCAAGCGUUGUUCGGAUUUACUGGGCGUACAGGGAGCGUAGGCGGUUGGGUAAGCCCUCCGUGAAAUCUCCGGGCCUAACCCGGAAAGUGCGGAGGGGACUGCUCGGCUAGAGGAUGGGAGAGGAGCGCGGAAUUCCCGGUGUAGCGGUGAAAUGCGUAGAGAUCGGGAGGAAGGCCGGUGGCGAAGGCGGCGCUCUGGAACAUUUCUGACGCUGAGGCUCGAAAGCGUGGGGAGCAAACAGGAUUAGAUACCCAUGUAGUCCCUGAGCGGGCUGGCAAGGCGCAU
rnacentral:rRNA from 1 species